rnacentral:lncRNA from 1 species
UUUCUCUGUUUCUUCCACUUAACUCCUCGUAACCAAAAAUCUCACUAAUGUGAACAAGAAAUUUUUCCAUGUUUUUUCAAUCAGGAAAUUGUUCAUUGUUUCCCAAUAUCAAUAAAAUUACCUAUUUACCGUCCAAGUUUAUUUUUCUAUAACUUUCCUCAUAAUAUAAAACUUCAGACCCAAAGGGAAACCAACUCAACAAAGCAUUCCCUAAUUUUGAAGAUGAGAUGAGGAAGAAAUCUAGAUUUGAGAUGAGAUGAUGAUCGUAGAUGAAGAAAUUUGGGAAAAGUAGGGAUUUUUGGGAU